rnacentral:rRNA from 1 species
UGGGGAAUAUUGCACAAUGGGGGAAACCCUGAUGCAGCGACGCCGCGUGAGUGAAGAAGUAUUUCGGUAUGUAAAGCUCUAUCAGCAGGGAAGAAAAUGACGGUACCUGACUAAGAAGCCCCGGCUAACUACGUGCCAGCAGCCGCGGUAAUACGUAGGGGGCAAGCGUUAUCCGGAUUUACUGGGUGUAAAGGGAGCGUAGACGGUUCGGCAAGUCUGAAGUGAAAACUCGAGGCUCAACCACGAGAUUGCUUUGGAAACUGUCGAACUAGAGUACCGGAGGGGUAUGCGGAAUUCCUAGUGUAGCGGUGAAAUGCGUAGAUAUUAGGAGGAACACCGGUGGCGAAGGCGGCAUACUGGACGGAAACUGACGUUGAGGCUCGAAGGCGUGGGGAGCAAACAGG